UGUGUUUAGCCAUCCUGAUUUCAUAACUACAACUGAUGUUCAAUUACAAGGGAUAUUAAUCAGUCUCCGUGGACUAUACACUGUGCCUAGUUUCAUCCUCAGAGACUGAUGUGUAAGCUUAAAGUAAAGACAUCAAAUCAAAGUAUCAGCCAUCAAGAGGAAAAACAUUCAAAAUCAUAUUGUGAUACACAAGUCAAGCAAGUCUGACCAGCAUUUUGAUACAGGCCAAGAAAAAGCUGGAUACUUGAUUGGAAGGGUUGCACAAAAAACAUGGGUUAUCACUAGGGAAACAAGCUCGCAAUACAGUUCACUGUUAGGACAGCAAGCCAAAUACUUCUAAACUUAUUUGAAUCAUUUUUGCUCUUUAUUAUAAUUCAUCAAAUUGUCUUAUUAAAUAUAUAAAUUUAUAUAUAUACACAAUUCCUAAUAUAGAAUUUCUAAAAAUGUUUUAUUAUAAUAUUUAAAAAUGAAACAAACAUGUUCCCAGAACACAGCCACAUAAUGUCAACAUGUUCCCAGAACACACAAAAUGGCAACAUGUUCCCAGAACACACAAAAUGGCAACAUGUUCCCAGAACACAGCCAAAUAAUGUCAACAUGUUCCAUGAACUCACAAAAUGGCAACAUGUUCCCUGAACACACACAAUGGCAACAUGUUCCCAGAACACAGCCAAAUAAUGUCAACAUCUUCCAUGAACUCACAAAAUGGCAACAUGUUCCCAGAACACACAAAAUGUCAUUAUGUGCCCAGAACACACAAAAUGGCAACAUGUUCCCAGAACACACAAAAUGGCAACAUGUGCCGAGAACACAAAAAAUGACAACAUGUGCCGAGAACAAUGCCCCUUACAGAUGACAUGUUCCCAGAACACAGCCCGUAGUUGGUCUGCCAUAAAAAGUUAACAAUACUUUACUUUUUCCUUAACAAUAUUACAAGCAGGUAGUAAAGCCAUAAAUCUUUACUGUGGAUAUAGCCAAUAAAUAGGGUAACCUUCACUAUAUGCAAUUUGUAGUUUUCAAUGCCUGUCCCAUGCAUAUUAUUUAGCCUAUGGUUUUGGGCCUUGCUUCAUUUACUCAAUAAAUUAUAUAGGCAUGAGAAUUUUCAUUUAAAUCUGCAAAAGCUACAUUCUGUACAUUAUUAUUUUCAAACUACAUCAUAUAUUUUUCUCUUCUCUGAUAAAAAAUAUUCCUCAUAUUGUUUGUGUCAAGUAUUUUAUUUUUAUCUAUGCAAUGCUAUAUUCUUAUUUUAUAAUAAUUACUUUUAUACAAAU